rnacentral:rRNA from 1 species
GACGAACGCUGGCGGCGUGCUUAACACAUGCAAGUCGAACGGAAAGGCCCUGCUUUUGUGGGGUGCUCGAGUGGCGAACGGGUGAGUAACACGUGAGUAACCUGCCCUUGACUUUGGGAUAACUUCAGGAAACUGGGGCUAAUACCGGAUAGGAGCUCCUGCUGCAUGGUGGGGGUUGGAAAGUUUCGGCGGUUGGGGAUGGACUCGCGGCUUAUCAGCUUGUUGGUGGGGUAGUGGCUUACCAAGGCUUUGACGGGUAGCCGGCCUGAGAGGGUGACCGGCCACAUUGGGAUUGGGAAACGGCCCAGACGCCUACGGGGGGAAGGAGGGGGGAAUAUUGCACAAUGGGCGGAAGCGUGAUGCAGCAACGCGGGGUGGGGGAUGACGGCCUUCGGGUUGAAAACCCUUUUCGCCUGUAGCGAAGGGGGGUGGAGGGUAAGGGGUAAAAAACCACGGCCUAAUUAGUG